AAAGGAAUAGACGGGGGCCCGCACAAGCGGAGGAACAUGUGGUUUAAUUCGAUGAUACGCGAGGAACCUUACCCGGGCUCGAACGGUGCAGGAAUAUUUCAGAGAUGGAAUAGCUAGCAAUAGUCUGUAUCGAGGUGCUGCAUGGUUGUCGUCAGCUCGUGCCGUGAGGUGUCGGCUUAAGUGCCAUAACGAGCGCAACCCUUGUCGUUAGUUACCAUCAAGUAAAGUUGGGGACUCUAGCGAGACUGCCACCGUAAGGUGUGAGGAAGGGGGGGAUGACGUCAAAUCAGCACGGCCCUUACGUCCGGGGCGACACACGUGUUACAAUGGUAGGUACAGAGGGCCGCUACCCAGCGAUGGGGUGCAAAUCUCGAAAACCUAUCUCAGUUCGGAUCGGAGUCUGCAACUCGACUCCGUGAAGUUGGAUUCGCUAGUAAUCGCGCAUCAGCCAUGGCGCGGUGAAUACGUUCCCGGGCCUUGUACACACCGCCCGU
rnacentral:rRNA from 1 species